rnacentral:lncRNA from 1 species
AAAAUAGUCAGAAUGGGUUAUGGUAAAAGGGACCUGAAACAGUGAGAAAGGGAGGAGAAGGGAAGAAAGAUUAAGGCAGACAGGGGAACCUGUGGAGAGAGCGAGAGCUAGAGACAGAAGGAGAGAAGAGGCAGGGCCAUGGAAACAGAGGCAGCGUCUCUCCAAGUCCUUCUCAAAGACACUGGAAGAGUUCGGGAAACCAAACAGGUCAGAAUUAUCUUGAUGCCUUCCCAGACCAAAGCUGGUUGGCUGCUUCUUCCACCACUCUGACGGAACUCAGCUCAGUCCAUCAUCUCCACCCCAUAGAAGGAACCCCAGUUGGCCAGCAUGGUUUCCCUGACAGGGGAAGUGUUUCUUCAAGCUCAGAAGGGUUGACAAAGUGGAAACUGCCCACCCUGGAGGUGGCCUCUUCUCCCCAAGGCCAGCACAGAAUUCUCCUCAGCCGUGGCAUUCUCUUGGAGAGCAUCUUGAUGCAGAUGAAGGGUGCUAUAUAAAUCAAUGGAUCAUAAGUCUGUUGGACAGCACUUAGAUAGGUAAAUUCAUGUGUGUUAUUCACUCAGUGAACCUUCCUAAAAAAGAUAAUAUGCUCCGUAUCUCACCGUGCUGACAUAUUUCAACUCAAUUGAUAAUGGGUCAGGAUUGAGCAAAGCUUACAGAGUGAAUUACCUUUUAGCCAUCCCUUCCAGUUUAGGGUUGCAGUCACCAACAAAAUCAAUGUCGAAGGAUUCUUGUUGUCUCAGACAAUACCAACAAUGACUCCUAAUGAAAUAAACCAUUGAAGCCUUUUAAUCAGACCACCUGCCUAAAAGGAGGAAGCCAUCCAGAGGAGGCUGGGGCUCUAGGGACCUAUUUUCCCCUUACCGGUCAACGCAUGAGUGAUUCUUUAAUUGUAGUAAUGAUGUGCUUACCCUGGACCCAGACACUCGGGCAGCAAGAGGCAGCAAUUCUCUGGGGCAGAAGGUUGGCGUGACCUCAGCUGGGGCUGCACAGGUCCCAGAGCAGGGCUGCAUCACCAGGGGCCAUGCAAAUGCCUCCAGGUUAGGGGCCUGUUUGACUCCCAGACAUGUGAUAAAUCUUAUUGAAAGAAAGCCCUGCAAUAAAUGAGCCCUGCUCUGCAUCUGAAUUCUAGGGUCACUGUUACAAAAAUAGGAGCUGGCUGCAAAUGUGACCACCAAUGGGCUUCUGCCCCUACCCCUUGCUCUUCCCUCCUCCCCAGCCUGCAAAUUUCUGAAAAAUUAGCUAACAUCACCUUAAAUAUAUUUAAAUAUUAGGAAGCUGAAGGGAAUCCAGAAACAUAAGAAUUGACCUAGAAGCUCUCUGCAAGGCUCUCUUUUGUGUCCACUGAUUCACUCUGAGGCACAUUUAUGGUUUCCUUCUUCUUUAUGGAUCAUCCCCAGAUUUUCUUUGGAAAUUCAUCUUUUCCUCAUGCUCCUGUCUGAGUGUGCUCUUCUCUUAGCUCCAUGGUGGACCUAGGAUUCAAGUCUGUAUUAGUCUGUUCUGCAUUGCUAUAAAGGAAUAUCUGAGGCUGGGUAGUUUACAAAGAAAAGAGGUUUAUUUGGCUCAUGGUUCCACAGGCUGUACAAGCAUGGCACCAUGAAUUUCUUCUGGAGAGGCCUCUAGAAGAUUUUACUCAUUGCAGAAGGGGGAGGGGGGCAGGCAGGUCACAUGGCAAGAGGGAGCAAGAGACAUGCUAGGCUCUUUGAAACAACCAGCUCCCAUGUGAACUAAUAGGAGUGAGGACUCACUCAUUACCAUGGGGAGGGCACCAAGCCAUUGAUGAGGGAUCCAUGGGACCGAAACAUCUCCCACCAGGCCCUACCUCCAACACUGGGGAUCUCAUUUCAGCCUGAGAUAAGAAGGGUGCAAAACAUUCCAAUGAUAUCAAGGUCUAACUUAGUCAGUAGUUGAUUCCCUAAUGAAUCUCAUCCUGUCAACCAGAGUGUCAACUCAGGGCUUCUAAUGGGGUGACUAACAGAGAAAGACCUUGUUCUCUCUUUCCGAGCAGACAUGGACCUGUGGAGUGUGUUUCUGGUUGGUCAUUAGCUGGUGGAAAGCCCAUCUGAAAAUGUGAC